rnacentral:rRNA from 1 species
AACGCGAAGAACCUUACCUGGGCUUGACAUGCAUAUGCCAGUCGUAGAAAUACGAUCUUCCAGAUUUCGGUUUGGACGUGUGCACAGGUGCUGCAUGGCUGUCGUCAGCUCGUGUCGUGAGAUGUUGGGUUAAGUCCUUUAACGAGCGCAACCCCUACCAUCAGUUGCUACCUACGUAAGUAGAGCACUCUGAAGGGACUGCCUAGGAAACUAGGAGGAAGGUGGGGACGACGUCAAGUCAUCAUGGUCCUUAUGUCCAGGGCUACACACGUGUUACAAUGGCCGGUACAACGAGGCGCAAACUCGUAAGAGGGAGCAAAUCUUUCAAAGCCGGUCUAAGUUCGGAUUGAGGUCUGCAACUCGACCUCAUGAAGUUGAAAUCGCUAGUAAUCGCGUAUCAGAACGGCGCGGUGAAUACGUUCCCGGGCCUUGUACACACCGACUGUAC